rnacentral:misc_RNA from 1 species
UGUAAUUCAAGAAAAAUGUUAAAAAUUUGGAAAUUUUUUUGCAAUAUGCGACAAAUAAUGUAUAUCCAAUGUAAGUACAAUUCGAUCAUCGUGAUUAAUGUUUAUUUAAUAAUCAUUUUACUUAUAUUAAAUAUUAUUGAUCAGACCAUUUAGAUCGUCAAAAUACGUACGAUAUUUUUCUCGAGGAAAUAAAAAAUGCCAAAAAUAUGUACUGAUCCGAAAUGUCCUUUGAAUAAAUACGCGAAGUAAGUUAUUCAAAUUAUUUCUGUGAUAUCUCUUAUAUUAUUUCUAAACAUUUUUACCUUUCAUAUUUCUCUACCAAGUUUUAUUUUGAAUUUUACAGUACUCAAAAAUCACGAAAAGAUUCAUGUAAAAUUCAUGGAAAGGCAUGCAUCAAAUAUUCCUCUGAUCAUGCACGAGAGAAUCGUAGCGGCGAACAUGAACGAACAAAAUAUUGUAAAAAAUUAUGUCGAAAAAAGGAUCAAAAGUUACAAGAGACGACAACAAAAGCUGCUCGUUGUGGGAUAUGUUGUAAAAAGUAUAACAUUUAUAUAUAAUUAAUAUAUAAAUAAUAAAUAAAUAAAUUCUAUUAUUUUUUAGCGAAAGAUGUCAAAUAAUUGAAUCUACCAGCAUAGAACCUGGCACAUCAUCCACAGAUUCAUUGCCAAUAAAACGGUAAAUUAUUUACAAUCUUAUAAUCAUUAACAAAAUUUGUACAAAUAAAUAAUCUUUACUAAAAAUCCUACAGUUCGAAAAAACACGGAAUGAAAAAACAAAUACAUGAGGAAAAAGAAGACAAAUCUUUUUGCGAAUGUAGACGUAAAAGAUGUUGCGAUAGAAGAGAACAAAAUCAAAAAAUGAGAAAAAGAGUUAAAUAUCGUUCUCGUCGUAAGAGAAAAAGAAAAGAUAAUUGGUUAACAAAUUGUUUAAGAAAACUUUGCUUUUGCGUGAAGACUCCUGUGAGUUAUGAACAACCGAAUGCGUAUGAACGAUCUCGUGAAACUUUAUUACAAAGUUGCAAAUGUUGUAACACGUACAGAGAUAUGAUAAAAAAACAUUGAGAGAAGAUACUGCGAGAUAUCACCGAGCUAAUGGAUUAGAACAAAAAUGUCAAUGCAUCAACACCAUUGCGAAGAAUCGGUUGGUUUCUUCUUCUUCUUCUUCUUUUUUAAUGAAAUCAUCUUUUAUACUAAUUAUUUCAACUUAUUAUUUUUCUAGAGAGACAUCUCAACAUCAGUCAUAUUU